CAGCAGUCAAGAAUAUUAGUCAAUGCUCGCAAGAGUGAACUAGCUAACUGAAAUCUUAAUUUUUUUAAUUAUUAAGAUAAGGUAAGAGAAAAUAAUGAUAUUAUCUUACUAUUAGUGUCGUCUAAAUUUGGUGCCAGAAGACUCGGUAAGACCUUAGACGCGAACGUUAAUCGUCAUAAUCAGGCGUAAAGAGUGUGUAGGCGGCUUUAAAAAAAUAUUUGAUAUUUAAAUUAAAGCUAGAAUCUAAAAGAGGGUAAGCUAAACAACAUAAUUAAUUAGGACUGACAACUUAUAAUAAUGUGGAGUACUAAAGGUUAAAGCUAUUUAUCUACUUAAGAUUGACGCUCAGAAACGAAGGGGAGAAUAAGAAACUUAGAUUAGAGACCUAAUUAUCUCUCUCAGUCAACGAUGAAUGGUUGUUAUUAAAAAUACAAAUAUAAUUUUUAUAUAAAUAUUAGUAACGAGGUUAACACGAUGACCAUUCCGCCUUGUUAGUAAGACUGCAAAGUUGAAAACAAAAAAAUUAGUCGGUCUUGAAGCAAACGAAGUGAAGCAUGUUAUUUAAUUCGAUAAUCCGCA
rnacentral:rRNA from 1 species